AACGAACGCUGGCGGCAGGCUUAACUCAUGCAAGUCGAACGCAUCGCAAGAUGAGUGGCAGACGGGUGAGUAACGCGUGGGAACAUACCCUUUUCUACGGAAUAGCUCUGGGAAACUGGAAUUAAUACCGUAUACGCCCUUUACUGGUGGACAGUUUAGGGGAAAGAUUUAUCGGGGAAGGAUUGGCCCGCGUUGGAUUAGCUAGUUGGUGGGGUAACGGCCUACCAAGGCGACGAUCCAUAGCUGGUCUGAGAGGAUGAUCAGCCACAUUGGGACUGAGACACGGCCCAAACUCCUACGGGAGGCAGCAGUGGGGAAUAUUGGACAAUGGGCGCAAGCCUGAUCCAGCCAUGCCGCGUGAGUGAUGAAGGCCUUAGGGUUGUAAAGCUCUUUCACCGAUGAAGAUAAUGACGGUAGUCGGAGAAGAAGCCCCGGCUAACUUCGUGCCAGCCGCCGCCGUAA
rnacentral:rRNA from 1 species